GGCUGGGGCCCAGCCAGGCCAGGUCUCUGGCCUUUUCCCUGCAGCGAGCUGAUGAAUUUCCCCUUCUUCUUUUUAAAGUGACAUGAAGCUGGAUUUCUGUCUCUGUUACUUUCAGCCACAGGAGUUUCGCUGGCGCAGGCACCAUUUCUAGUGUUCCGGUGUACAGUGUCGUCCCGUCCUUUGCCCUCCUGUGGGCCUCAUCCUGAAACCACACACAGCCUGGGCCCGCCUGUGUCCUCAGCCGCACUGGCCUGUGAAGUUCAAGAGCCUGGUACUGGCAUCUGGUGAAGUCUUCUGUCUGUGUCACAUUAUGAGAGGAGGCAUCACAUGGAACUAAGUGUGCUGGACCCUUGAGCCACCAGCCUGGAGUUGGGGAAGCACCUGCUGUAUACCUUCCCUGGAGAGUGGGACAGCAUGAAACCUCUUUCCCCAGGAGGACAGGACUGGCGUGUGCCCCAAUGUCUUCCUAACCAGACUCGGUGGAGAAAUUGACAAGUUCCCUGUCAGGGCUUCUAGACAAGGUCCAUUUGAACCCACUGCUUAUAUCACAUCUGCUAACUUCUUAUUGGCCAAAGUGAGUCACACAGCUGGGCCUACUGUCCAAGGAGGGGCAGUGCAACCCAAUCAUAUGGGUUCUGCAAAAUUACAUGGCAAAGGAUGUGGUUAUCAAGAAAGGUACUGAGACCACGAGUCUGCAAGCUGAAGAUCUCAUAGGAGCUGCAACCGUGUCCCUCAGCCACCAAAUGUCUUGUGGCUGCUCCAGAACCCUGUGCUCCAGAUGUGGCUUCUUAAGACACCUGCCUGCUCCAGGAGAUGUUUGCAGGAGACUAUGGCAGCUUCAGAUGGCCUGAAAUGGUUCCAGAUGACUCUGCUGUACAGCCUGUCUGGAUGACUUUGCCCCUCUGACUUUGCCCCACUCCAGUCUGCAAAGAGCCUCUCCCUUACCCGUUAAGGCCAGGGCAGGUGGGCUAGUAUACUUGCAUCGGCCGCCUUAACUCAGCAAAAGUCUGUGGUUAGCAGGAGGAGACUUUGCAGGUGAGGAUCCAUGCUGUUGUCCAUAUACUAGCACUUCUCACCUUAGUCAGGUCAGUCUGGAUCAGCCUUCAU